rnacentral:rRNA from 1 species
GUGGGGAAUAUUGGACAAUGGGGGGAACCCUGAUCCAGCCAUGCCGCGUGUGUGAAGAAGGCCUUUUGGUUGUAAAGCACUUUAAGCGAGGAGGAGGCUACCGAGAUUAAUACUCUUGGAUAGUGGACGUUACUCGCAGAAUAAGCACCGGCUAACUCUGUGCCAGCAGCCGCGGUAAUACAGAGGGUGCAAGCGUUAAUCGGAUUUACUGGGCGUAAAGUGCGCGUAGGUGGCCAAUUAAGUCAAAUGUGAAAUCCCCGAGCUUAACUUGGGAAUUGCAUUCGAUACUGGUUGGCUAGAGUAUGGGAGAGGAUGGUAGAAUUCCAGGUGUAGCGGUGAAAUGCGUAGAGAUCUGGAGGAAUACCGAUGGCGAAGGCAGCCAUCUGGCCUAAUACUGACACUGAGGUGCGAAAGCAUGGGGAGCAAACAGGAUUAGAAACCCUGGUAGUCC